UACGACCACAUGAUGUUGAAACACCGAUUCCAGUACGAUCACCGAAGUUAAGCAAUGUCAAGCCUGGUUAGCACCUCGAUGGGUGACCGCUUGGGAAAACCAGGUGCUGUAAG